UACGGAGGGCGCAAGCGUUGUUCGGAAUCACUGGGCGUAAAGCGCGUGUAGGCGGCCCUGCAAGUCGGGGGUGAAAUCCCGGAGCUCAACUCCGGAACUGCCUCCAAAACUGGCGACCUGGAGCAGAGGAGAGGCGAGUGGAAUUCCGAGUGUAGAGGUGAAAUUCGUAGAUAUUCGGAGGAACACCAGUGGCGAAGGCGACUCGCUGGACUCUUGCUGACGCUGAGACGCGAAAGCGUGGGGAGCAAACAGG
rnacentral:rRNA from 1 species